rnacentral:rRNA from 1 species
CUGCAAGUCGAACGGUCUUUCUAUGGAAGCUUGCUUCCACUGAGAAGAUAGUGGCGAACGGGUGAGUAACACGUGGGUAACCUGCCCAUAAGAGGGGGAGUAACAUCCGGAAACGGGUGCUAAUACCGCAUAGUUUUCUUGAUUGCAUGAUUGAGAAAGGAAAGACGGCCUUUGUGCUGUCGCUUAUGGAUGGACCCGCGGCGUAUUAGUUAGUUGGUGAGGUAACGGCUCACCAAGACGAUGAUACGUAGCCGACCUGAGAGGGUGAUCGGCCACAUUGGGACUGAGACACGGCCCAAACUCCUACGGGAGGCAGCAGUAGGGAAUCUUCCGCAAUGGACGAAAGUCUGACGGAGCAACGCCGCGUGAGUGAAGAAAAGGUUUUUCGGAUCGUAAAACUCUGUUGUCAGAGAAGAACAAGUUGGAGAGUAACUGCUCCAGCCUUGACGGUAUCUGACCAGAAAGCCACGGCUAACUACGUGCCAGCAGCCGC